UACGUAGGGAGCAAGCGUUGUUCGGAUUUACUGGGCGUAAAGGGCUCGUAGGCGGCCAACUAAGUCGGACGUGAAAUCCCCAGGCUCAACCUGGGAACUGCGUCCGAUACUGGAUGGCUAGAGUCUGGUAGGGGGAUCUGGAAUUCCUGGUGUAGCGGUGGAAUGCGCAGAUAUCAGGAGGAACACCGGUGGCGAAGGCGGGAUCCUGGGCCAGUACUGACGCUGAGGAGCGAAAGCGUGGGGAGCAAACAGG
rnacentral:rRNA from 1 species